rnacentral:tRNA from 1 species
GGUCUCGUGGCCGAGUGGCUAGGCAUCGGUCUGCAAAACCGGGUACAGCGGUUCGAAUCCGCUCGAGACCU